ensembl:ncRNA M70.12 ncRNA
UUCAAAUUUGGUGGCCUAGAACUACAAAACUAGGCCACCAACUUCAAAUCGAUGUAACUUUGCCGAAAAUCAAUAUUUUUGAGAUCAGAAAAAAUAAUCGAUAAUUCCUAAAGUUGGCC